rnacentral:lncRNA from 1 species
AUAAAUUAAAUUGGAGGGCUCUCUCCAGACGAAAACGAAAUCUGAAGAUUUUGCACUACCUGUAUUUUGCUACAUGCAAAAAAAGUCUCGCUGAAACGGGUAUCGGAAAUUCUCGUUCUUUCUUCCGUCCUUUUAUGACUAAAAAAAAAAACUUGGAGAAAUGAAAAAUGUGCCACCGACUUGUCUAUAAAAUAGAAACAGAUGGUAAAGAAGACCUUUAAAUUUCCACCAUUAGUAAACCGCAAAAACGAACACUCUGAUCUCACUUUUAUUCCGUGCAGACCUCAAAUAAACCCCGUCGAAAAUAUGCAAAGAAAAAAAUAAACACUGUUUUUCUCGGCUGAAGCAAAUAUUUUCCUUUCAGCGCCUUAAGGUUGACAAUAGACGAAGCUAAAAGCUUUUGCCAAUAAGUGUCUUGAUUGUCUAUGGAUUAGCAGCCGCGCUGUAUAUUUGUAAAUACGUCAUCUUUCUUCGGUCUUCAAAUGAAAAACGAAAUAAGAUCAAUCCGAACUUACAAAAACUGGUCGUAAAGAUAUAGAUACUGAUAUUGAUCCAGAUACGCUUACUUGAGAAAAGGACCAAAUACAUCGUACCACUUUGAUCCAUUUUUCGUAGCAUUAUAACGGCUAGACUUGGCCAGACAAACCUCGACGGGUUAAGAACAAAUUAGCGACAGACGAUUGUCUUUUUUUUUUGUUUUUUUUUCAAAGUAUGGCUGUGAUUUAUGCAGAUUAAUGCCAGCGAACUUAAAAAAACAACAAAACAAACUUAAUGUUUAAGUAGAUAUUCUGAGGGAUCACUGGCAUCCAAUUGUCUGUUUUCCUUCUAGAAGAAGUAAAGCUCGCGAAAAAGGUGAUUCGGGGGCGUUUUCUUGGGUGUAAUCAAGGGUUGAUGAGCACAAACAAUAGCUUGCGUACAUUGUACGAGUGUCUUCUUUCUUCAGUAAUUUAUUGCGGACAGUAAAUGAAUAAAGAAAAUGCACAAAAGCGAAUAGAAUGAAUAGAGCAAUUUUUAAUUGUUUGUCGACAGUAAUCAAUGAUUGCUCUGUUUUUCCUUUACAUCAAGUUUAAGUUCAAAGUUUCAUUCACCAACUUGAACUUCACUUCGUGAUUGGUCCAGAAAACUCGCACCACCAUCUCAGCUAAUUAGUUGCAAAACUAAAAACCAUCACAAACUGGUCGUCUGAGUUUUCCCGCGCCUUAGGCAGCUUGGUUGGUUUUCUUUUAAGGUUUCAUUGGCUCUUAAUGGUAUUUCGUUUCUUCUGACUGACCUUCGUGAUUAUUUUGGUUUUGGCUUUACAACGCACAAUCGAAAAGCUCACUUACUAGUCGAAACUGAAAACUCCAAAAUUGAAACUCAGACAUGCGAAGCGUCCACCCAGGGGAAUGGACUUGAAAAGAUGCAAAUUUAGACAGACUGAAAUUUACACGAAACUAUUUAUGGUGAUAUAGACAAUCUCGUGAAAAAAACCACGUACUGGUCUAUUUCGUCUCCACACGCACGUCUUAAUUUUUCACGAGCUCUACCCACGCGAGACUUGAACGCUUCACGCUUGCAUCGCGGUGCGCAAUCAUGGUUUUUGGCGAAGCUCUAGUGUUGGCGUUCCUGGCUACAGCAGUAGCCUUAUUUGGUGUGUCUGUGCACAGUAUUUUCACAUCCAAGCACAACUCGCUGAUGGAAUUGAGAAAACUGGAGGAUCAGAUGAUGGAAAAGUACGGCUGGAAUCCUUCAAUGCCUUACAAUGCAUACAACUAAAGAUAAAAAGCGUAGAGGAAAAGCUUAAACUGGAUUUAUUAACUAGAUAAUUGCUGGCCCUUAGUAAGUGUGAAGAAACCGUAGAUCGAGGUUGCAUUAGAAUUCCAAGUUCCACAAUAAUUUUUUUUUGUAUAUUGGCGUGUUAACUACAACACCGUAGAAGGACUGAUCUGCAAAGAUGACCUAAGAAGUUUUGCCCUGGUUUUAUUACAAGCUUAGCACAAACAUUUACGAGAAAUUUAACAAGAAGGAACCUACAUGUUUACCUUUAGAGUAACGAGAACCAGCUUGAUACAGUUGUCUGAUACCUAAUUAACAAUUAAGCUUUUAAAGUUAUUUAUCAGUGAAAUGUUAUUUGUGGGUAAAAAUUUUCAUCGAAACAAACUUACUGUCAAGAUUGUGGUCAAUCGAGUGUAGGAUUCGGAACUGAGUAAAGAUAUAGUGAGAUCUAAAUGAAAGCAUUUUUUUAUUUUAUCUUUAAUGAGAACCUUCAGUAGUCUUUCGGCUAACGGCUUUCUUUCUUCCAAGAAACGCGACCAACGGGUUUCUGAAAAUAUACUCGUACAACAGUUUACAACUCUUUUGAAAA